UACGUAGGGUGCAAGCGUUGUCCGGAAUUAUUGGGCGUAAAGGGCUCGUAGGCGGUCUGUCGCGUCGGGAGUGAAAACUCAGGGCUUAACCCUGAGCCUGCUUCCGAUACGGGGCAGACUAGAGGUAUGCAGGGGGAGAACGGAAUUCCUGGUGUAGCGGUGGAAUGCGCAGAUAUCAGGAGGAACACCGGUGGCGAAGGCGGUUCUCUGGGCAUUACCUGACGCUGAGGAGCGAAAGUGUGGGGAGCGAACAGG
rnacentral:rRNA from 1 species